rnacentral:sRNA from 1 species
GGCUGGUAGUGAGUUAUCUCAAUCAAUUGUUCAGUCAGUAACAGACUGAACUCCUAGUUCUAUUCUUUCCCCCUUUCUCAAUAGUGCACUUAACAAGUCUAAA